CAUAAGAAGCUAUGUAAGGUCCAUUGGAUUCUUGUUGUUUGGCUUCAUAUUUACCAUAUUGAGUAAUGUAAGGUCCAUUGGUUUCCAAUUGUUUGGCUUCAUGUUUACCAUAGGCAGUUAUGUAAGGUUCAUUGGAUUCAUGGGUAUGGGUCUUGUACCCGGUAGUGUAAUCUGGGUUCUUGGCUUCAUGUUUACCAUAUUGAGUUAUGUAAGGUCCAUUGGAAUCCGGUUGUUUGACUUCAUGUCUACCAUGGGCAGUUAUGUAAGGUUCAUUGGAUUCAUGGGUAUGGGUUUUGUACCCAGUAGUGUAAUCUUGGUUCUUGGCUUCAUGUUUACCAUAUUGAGUUAUGUAAGGUCCAUUGGAUUCUGAUUGUUUGGCGUCAUGAUUACCAUAGGCACUUAUGUAAGGUCCUUUGGCCUCAUGGGUAUGGGUCUUGUACCGGGUAGUGUAAUCUGGGUUCUUGGCUUCAUGUGUACCAUAUUGAGUUAUGUAAGGUCUAUUGGAAUUCGGUUGUUUGGCUUGAUGUCUACCAUAGGGAGUUAUGUAACGUUCAUUAGAUUCAUGAGUAUGAGUAUUGUACCCGGUAGUGUAAUCUGGGUUCUUGUCUUCAUGUUUACCAUAUUGAGUUAUGUAAGGUCCAUUGGAAUCUAGUUGUUUGGUUUCAUGUCUAUUGUAGGAAGUUAUGUAAGGUCCAUUGGAUUCAUGAGUAUAAGUUUUGUACCCGGUAGUGUAAUCUGCGUCCUUGGCUACAUGUUUACCAUAUUGAGUUAUGUAAGGUCCAUUGGAAUCUGGUUGUUUGGCUUCAUGUCUACCAUAGGCAGUUAUGUAAGGUCCAUUGGAUUCAUGGGUAUGGGUCUUGUACCCGGUAGUGUAAUCUGGGUUCCUGGCUUCGUGUUUGAAAUAUUGAGUUAUGUAAGGUGCAUUGGAAUCCGGUUGUUUAGAUUCAUGUCUACCAUAGGUUGUUAUGUAAGGUUCAUUGGAUUCAUGGGUAUGGGUCUUGUACCCGGUAGUGUAACCUGGAUUCUUGGCUUCAUGUUUACUAUAUUGAGUUAUGUAAG
rnacentral:lncRNA from 1 species